AUGAUAUAUUAUAUGAAAUUAGAACACACUUACUUGAUAAGGUGAAAUCAUUGCUAGAAGUGUCAAUAUCAGAAAUCACUGAUAUGUUAAACUAGGGUCUUCCUUUGCCUAUCACAAGCUCCAGUCUUUGAGGUCUUUGAUGGGGAAAACCACAAAUGAGCAUACUAUUGUUUUUCUCUGUGUGACGGCAAAGGGGACCUAGCCAACCUUAUAAAAGUUUUCAACCCUAGUACCACCCAUCAUGGACCCUAGAGGUGGGCCUACACUUUGUUUCUACACAAAUCAGAAUUAGUGUUCAAGCCCAUUAUUACUGAUCACAAUUAUCGGGCUUAAGCAUCAUCAAAUGGAUCACAACAACAUCAACCCGUUUUUAUUAAAACCAAAACCCACAAUUGAUUGCAGCCCACAGAAU
rnacentral:lncRNA from 1 species